GUGCUGGCUUCAGCUGCAUGUAGACUAAAACUGGAACAAUAUCGAGAAGAUGAGAAUGGUCCUUGCACAAGGAUGACAUGCAAAUUCACAAAGCAUCCCAUAUUUUU
ensembl:snRNA U6 U6 spliceosomal RNA